UACGGAGGGUGCAAGCGUUAAUCGGAAUUACUGGGCGUAAAGCGUGCGCAGGCGGUUUGCUAAGACAGGUGUGAAAUCCCCGGGCUUAACCUGGGAACUGCGCUUGUUACUGGCAAGCUUGAGUGUGGCAGAGGGGGGUGGAAUUCCACGUGUAGCAGUGAAAUGCGUAGAGAUGUGGAGGAACACCGAUGGCGAAGGCAGCCCCCUGGGCUAACACUGACGCUCAUGCACGAAAGCGUGGGGAGCAAACAGG
rnacentral:rRNA from 1 species